GACGAACGCUUGCGGCGUGCUUAACACAUGCAAGUCGAACGGAAAGGCCCUGCUUUUGUGGGGUGCUCGAGUGGCGAACGGGUGAGUAACACGUGAGUAACCUGCCCUUGACUUUGGGAUAACUUCAGGAAACUGGGGCUAAUACCGGAUAGGAGCUCCUGCUGCAUGGUGGGGGUUGGAAAGUUUCGGCGGUUGGGGAUGGACUCGCGGCUUAUCAGCUUGUUGGUGGGGUAGUGGCUUACCAAGGCUUUGACGGGUAGCCGGCCUGAGAGGGUGACCGGCCACAUUGGGACUGAGAUACGGCCCAGACUCCUACGGGUGGCAGCAGUGGGGAAUAUUGCACAAUGGGCGGAAGCCUGAUGCAGCAACGCCGCGUGCGGGAUGACGGCCUUCGGGUUGUAAACCGCUUUCGCCUGUGACGAAGCGUGAGUGACGGUAAUGGGUAAAGAAGCACCGGCUAACUACGUGCCAGCAGCCGCGGUGAUACGUAGGGUGCGAGCGUUGUCCGGAUUUAUUGGGCGUAAAGGGCUCGUAGGUGGUUGAUCGCGUCGGAAGUGUAAUCUUGGGGCUUAACCCUGAGCGUGCUUUCGAUACGGGUUGACUUGAGGAAGGUAGGGGAGAAUGGAAUUCCUGGUGGAGCGGUGGAAUGCGCGGAUAUCAGGAGGAACACCAGUGGCGAAGGCGGUUCUCUGGGCCUUUCCUGACGCUGAGGAGCGAAAGCGUGGGGAGCGAACAGGCUUAGAUACCCUGGUAGUCCACGCUGUAAACGGUGGGUACUAGGUGUGGGGUCCAUUCCACGGGUUCCGUGCCGUAGCUAACGCUUUAAGUACCCCGCCUGGGGAGUACGGCCGCAAGGCUAAAACUCAAAGGAGUUGACGGGGCCCCGCACAAGCGGCGGAGCAUGCGGAUUAAUUCGAUGCAACGCGUAGAACCUUACCUGGGUUUGACAUGGAUCGGGAGUGCUCAGAGAUGGGUGUGCCUCUUUUGGGGUCGGUUCACAGGUGGUGCAUGGCUGUCGUCAGCUCGUGUCGUGAGAUGUUGGGUUAAGUCCCGCAACGAGCGCAACCCUUGUUCACUGUUGCCAGCACGUUAUGGUGGGGACUCAGUGGAGACCGCCGGGGUCAACUCGGAGGAAGGUGGGGAUGACGUCAAGUCAUCAUGCCCCUUAUGUCCAGGGCUUCACGCAUGCUACAAUGGCUGGUACAGAGAGUGGCGAGCCUGUGAGGGUGAGCGAAUCUCGGAAAGCCGGUCUCAGUUCGGAUUGGGGUCUGCAACUCGACCUCAUGAAGUCGGAGUCGCUAGUAAUCGCAGAUCAGCAACGCUGCGGUGAAUACGUUCCCGGG
rnacentral:rRNA from 1 species